rnacentral:rRNA from 1 species
AGCAGCCGCGGUAAUUCCAGCUCCAAUAGCGUAUAUUAAAGUUGUUGCAGUUAAAAAGCUCGUAGUUGAAUUUCGGGAUUGACACAUCGGUCGUGCCUUAAGGGGUAUGAACUGGUGUAGUCAAUUUCUCACCUUCUGGAGAACCGCGAUGCCCUUAAUUGGGUGUCACGGGGAACCAGGACCUUUACUUUGAAAAAAUUUAGAGUGUUUAAAGCAGGCAUUUUGCUUGAAUACAUUAGCAUGGAAUAAUAAAAUAGGACGGCAUGAUUCUAUUUUGUUGGUUUCUAGGAUCACCGUAAUGAUUAAUAGGGAUAGUUGGGGGCAUUAGUAUUCAAUUGUCAGAGGUGAAAUUCUUGGAUUUAUUGAAGACUAACUACUGCGAAAGCAUUUGCCAAGGAUGUUUUCAUUAAUCAAGAACGAAAGUUAGGGGAUCGAAGACGAUCAGAUACCGUCGUAGUCUUAACCAUAAACUAUGCCGACUAGGAAUCAGACGAUGUUAAUUUUUUAAUGACUCGUUUGG